AAGGGAGGCCUAAUUCAGGUAGGAGACGAAAAAAAGUAGUCCCAACCAAGAAUCAAUCCCAAAAGGUCGGAGCGAGGUAUGAGGCUUUCAAACUAGGUUCUGGGUUCAAACAAGACCUGAAUCAGGAACAAGGGCUAUUAGCUCAGGUGGUUAGAGCGCACCCCUGAUAAGGGUGAGGUCCCUGGUUCGAGUCCAGGAUGGCCCACCUGCACAGGUGGCAAAAACAAGAGAAGCGAGGAAUCAGCACCUUAUCUUAUCUAUAUAUAAGAGAGAAUGCUGGCUCUGAGUAAAGAGUCCAGAGGAACCUUGAAAACUGCAUAGAGCUAGGUGAAAAAGCCAAAAAAGAAGACCGCAA
rnacentral:tRNA from 1 species